GAGAGUUUGAAUCUGGCUCAGAACGAACGCUGGCGGCAGGCUUAACACAUGCAAGUCGAGCGCCCCGCAAGGGGAGCGGCAGACGGGUGAGUAACGCGUGGGAAUCUACCCAUCUCUACGGAAUAACGCAUGGAAACGUGUGCUAAUACCGUAUACGUCCUUCGGGAGAAAGAUUUAUCGGAGAUGGAUGAGCCCGCGUUGGAUUAGCUAGUUGGUGGGGUAAAGGCCUACCAAGGCGACGAUCCAUAGCUGGUCUGAGAGGA
rnacentral:rRNA from 1 species